GACGAACGCUGGCGGCGUGCCUAAUACAUGCAAGUUGAGCGAUGAAGCUUGGUGCUUGCCCCAAUUUGAAGAGCAGCGAACGGGUGAGUAACGCGUGGGGAAUCUGCCUUUGAGCGGGGGACAACAUUUGGAAACGAAUGCUAAUACCGCAUAACAACUUUAAACAUAAGUUUUAAGUUUGAAAGAUGCAAUUGCAUCACUCAAAGAUGAUCCCGCGUUGUAUUAGCUAGUUGGUGAGGUAAAGGCUCACCAAGGCGAUGAUACAUAGCCGACCUGAGAGGGUGAUCGGCCACAUUGGGACUGAGACACGGCCCAAACUCCUACGGGAGGCAGCAGUAGGGAAUCUUCGGCAAUGGACGAAAGUCUGGCCGAGCAACGCCGCGUGAGUGAAGAAGGUUUUCGGAUCGUAAAACUCUGUUGGUAGAGAAGAACGUUGGUGAGAGUGGAAAGCUCAUCAAGUGACGGUAACUACCCAGAAAGGGACGGCUAACUACGUG
rnacentral:rRNA from 1 species